CGCUAUCGUAGCUCGGCUAGUGACAGCGACCGCUCGUUAGUCUCUUUCCACGCGCUCCUCGAUCACUCGAUAAUUUAACGCGUUACGUCAUUUAGCGAGCGUCACACUCGGCGCGGAUCUACCGGACGCGGAAUCGGGAAUUUUAGCCCGAAAGAUAAUUACCGUGAAUUCUCUGGCGAGUUCUCUGUCGAAAAAAUUGCCCUCGGCAUAGGAUGGCUCGAUCCGCGACGCAACCGUAGAUUCUAUCGCGCUGCCUAUCAUGCUUAUUGUUAACAUUCGGCGAAAGUAUCGACGAGGCGAGUUUCGCGCGACGCUCUUGGAAUAAUUUCGGUAAGUGUCUUCAAAGGAGUGCGCGAACGCGCGUGGCGCGAUCCCAUCUCUGAGACAGUAACAAUCGUGCGUCAUAUACAACAGGCAAUUUGAGAUAGCCUGUAAAUUUUUCGAUAAGAUACCGUUGUUGGACAAGCCUUGAUACCUGACAUUUCUGAUGUUGCAAGCCCGACAACAUCCGGCUGCGUGUGAUAUUCUGUCAUCGCCGUACGUAAAGACACCGAUCAAAGGAGUGUUUCUCACAUUGAAGUGAUUGCCGAGAUAGAAUCACUACCUCGCGGCGAUAAUUACGCCGCUUCCACGGACGAAGGGACACGACGACCGAGAAACGGAUGCAGAGGCCCAUCGCCAAGACAAGAUGCCAAUUCGCGAUGGUACGCGACGGUCCAGCUACCAGAAUAGCCGCCGCAUGAUGAAUAGAACAAGAAACCGCGAUUAGCCGGGAAGAGAAUGGCGUGAGGGAUAGGGGCGAACGCGUCAUUACCGAAGAAACACCUAGGAUGACUUAUGGGAGAGCCCGGAACUGAAGAGGCUCGGAGCAAGAAGUCGCGGGGGGAGCGGUCUCAGUUCACGCGAUGCAUAAUUUCUCAACGCGAGGGUUGCAUCUUCAGUAAAAAAAAAAAAA